UACGGAAGGCAGCAGUGGGGAAUAUUGCACAAUGGGCGCAAGCCUGAUGCAGCCAUGCCGCGUGUAUGAAAAGGCCUUCGGGUUGUAAAGUACUUUCAGUCGUGAGGAAGGUGUUAAGGUUAAUAACCUUAGCAAUUGACGUUAGCGACAGAAGAAGCACCGGCUAACUCCGUGCCAGCAGCCGCGGUAAUACGGAGGGUGCGAGCGUUAAUCGGAAUUACUGGGCGUAAAGGGCACGCAGGCGGUUAAUUAAGUUGGAUGUGAAAUCCCCGGGCUUAACCUGGGAAUGGCAUUCAAGACUGGUUAGCUAGAGUCUUGUAGAGGGGGUAGAAUUCCAUGUGUAGCGGUGAAAUGCGUAGAGAUGUGGAGGAAUACCGGUGGCGAAGGCGGCCCCUGGACAAAGACUGACGCUCAUGUGCGAAAGCGUGGGGAGCAAACGAGGGAUUAGAUACC
rnacentral:rRNA from 1 species